CUCUGCACCUGACUUAAUCCACUAUAAAUUCAUGCUGCGUUCCUACACUCAUUCCUCUGCAAAAGUAAAUUACACCCUCAUAAGCACUCUGUCCCACCAACCCAAAUGCCUUUUUCACACUUUUAAUGCUCUCCUUUGCCCUGUUGCUCCCCCUCCUCCUACCACCGUGUCCGCCUCAAACUUUGCAACUCAUUUCACUGAGAUUUCUAUAAUCAGGGAAGAGAUCUCUAACUU